rnacentral:rRNA from 1 species
AACGAACGCUGGCGGCGUGGAUAAGACAUGCAAGUCGAACGAGAGAAUUGCUAGCUUGCUAAUAAUUCUCUAGUGGCGCACGGGUGAGUAACACGUGAGUAACCUGCCCCCGAGAGCGGGAUAGCCCUGGGAAACUGGGAUUAAUACCGCAUAGUAUCGAAAGAUUAAAGCAGCAAUGCGCUUGGGGAUGGGCUCGCGGCCUAUUAGUUAGUUGGUGAGGUAACGGCUCACCAAGGCGAUGACGGGUAGCCGGUCUGAGAGGAUGUCCGGCCACACUGGAACUGAGACACGGUCCAGACACCUACGGGUGGCAGCAGUCGAGAAUCAUUCACAAUGGGGGAAACCCUGAUGGUGCGACGCCGCGUGGGGGAAUGAAGGUCUUCGGAUUGUAAACCCCUGUCAUGUGGGAGCAAAUUAAAAAGAUAGUAC